UCGUAACUUAUGAAGAUGCAUACUGUCAGUCAUUCCAAAAAGUUGACUUAGCGCUCAGUCACUUUCCAUCCAAUAGACCCAUCAUGUUGUCAAAAGCCUAAAACUAAUGUGUGAAGCUCACAUAUUGUGGAAUACAAAUGUGUGGAGACAAGGUAUUUCCCCAUUAUGGCUACCACACCAACCACACCAAACCAACUGCCUUACUAAAUUCAGCACCAUUCAACCAUAUGAUAAAGGAAAUUUACCUCAACCUAAGGAGUAAGGAGUAAUGCUGUUGGUUGCUGUGAUUUCCAUUUUUACGGUUUUUUAUCAUGAAAACUUCAGUGUGCUUGUUAGUAUAGAGCACAUAAUAGAUCCUUAAGCCAAUGCUGACCUUUGUCCAUAAAGGAAGAGGGACAUCCAGCAACGUUCUGCUCCAUCCUUAUCUUCCCGACGUACGCUCAUCUAGCUUCACUGCUUUUGCUGCUACAACUUGUCUUACUUCACCGACGAGUUGGAACACUUCAGUGGUCGCUACCCUUUGCUGUUACACACCUGCAGUUACUCACCACGGAUUAUGCCCAGGUAAUGCAGAGGAAAUUUCGAGAAGAUGGACACCAUAACGUCGCUGGUAUCUCCAAUGUGUCAGCGCGGAUCAUCAUUUGUUGUUGGUAAUAUGUGUUCGUUUGUGUUAGUUAACCCGUUGUCUGCCACGCCUUUGUUCUCCCCUAGCUCCUUA